rnacentral:rRNA from 1 species
AUGUGGACCUGUCUUCGUCAGCGCUAUGAGCCCUCUGGUGAUGCCUUAUACCUUUCUGUGGUUCGUCAGGAGCAUGCUCUUCAGCAGGGUGACUCUACUGUUGAUGAUUUCUAUGCACAGAGCUCUGCUAUCUGGCGCCAGCUUGAUUCUCUCCGCAGUGCUGGUUGUCGUACUUGCCCCUGCUGCCAGGCUGUCCAGGCCAAUUUGGAGUUUCAUCGCAUCUACGAGUUCCUGUCUUUGCUCCGUAAGGAGUUUGAGCCCCGGCGUGCUCAGUUGUUUGCUCGUGGCCGUAUUUCUCUCAUGGAGGCGCUUUCAGAGAUUCGUGCUGAGGAGACUCGCCUACGUGGUGCUGGUUUGCUGGAGGUUCCCUCUGUGCUCGCUACUCGGGCUUCUUCCACUCCACCUGCUGCACCGCCCCAUUCUCGCUCGAGUGCUCCGCCGCUCUUGCCCACUCCUUCUGGAGGCUCAGGUCGCCCCCGUCCACGUUGUGACUACUGCAACAAUGAUGGUCAUAUUGAGUCCCAGUGCUACACAAAGCGGAAACACCUGCGCAAGGCGCGAUCAUCCUCCUCAGGGACUUCGUCA